rnacentral:rRNA from 1 species
AUGCACGCUAGCGAUAGGCUUCACACAUGCAAGUCGAGGGGCAGCAUGGUCUUAGCUUGCUAAGACUGAUGGCGACCGGCGCACGGGUGCGUAACGCGUAUGCAACUUGCCUCACAGAGGGGGAUAACCCGUCGAAAGACGGACUAAUACCGCGUACACUUGGGAUAGGGCAUCCUGACCCAAGGAAAUGAAAUUCGCUGUGAGAUAGGCAUGCGUCCCAUUAGCUAGUUGGUGAGGUAACGGCUCACCAAGGCGACGAUGGGUAGGGGAACUGAGAGGUUGAACCCCCACACUGGUACUGAGACACGGACCAGACUCCUACGGGAGGCAGCAGUGAGGAAUAUUGGUCAAUGGGCGAGAGCCUGAACCAGCCAAGUCGCGUGAAGGAUGACUGUCUUAUGGAUUGUAAACUUCUUUUAUACGGGAAUAACAAGAGCCACGUGUGGCUCCCUGCAUGUACCGUAUGAAUAAGCAUCGGCUAACUCCGUG